UAUAGCUCCCAGUCACAUGUGCUGCAAUCUUAGGCCGAGGGGAAUCGUCUUGAUCUUGGAUCACCAAAGAGGGAAGUACACGUGAGACUUCGUCUGUUAAAAGCCAUAAGAAAGAAACAUCUGAAGUGAAAAGUCUCUGUUUGAGUUCCACUGAAGACAGAUGGAUGUAAAACAACAUGAGGCCGAGGAAACUGUGAAGACGGAAAGGGGUGUAGACUUGGAAGAACAUGAGGGAAAAUGGGAGGCCUGGCUUCGUGCAAGCAACUACCCUUUAAUUCAGGAAGCAAUGAACAAUGUGAAAGAUAACAUUCCUCCAAGCGCUAGGUGCCAUAAUAAUCUACAUGGGAUUUGAGACGUUGGCAUGAAAAACUCUUCCUGAAGGCAAAUCAUGCAAAGUUUGAAAAUGUGUAUCGGGUUAUGUAGCUGCUGGGAACAGGAACUGCCUCGCACUUUGCCACCUAGCUUCUUGAGAUCAAGUUUGCCCGUGUGACAUGAGCUGUCACACUCUUGAGUAGGUUCACAUAAAAACAUUUUUCAGUUUCUCUGUCAAUGCACGAAUGAUAACAGGUUAUUCCGGUCAGCAGGAUAAUCUCAGUUCGGCCUGCAGGCUAACGCUGCCUGUGUUCACUUAAAGAGUUAGCAAUUCACCCUUCUGUCACAGUCACAAUAAAAAAAAUCUUUGGAAAGCAAAAA